rnacentral:lncRNA from 1 species
UUCAAGUCAUUGUUUAUGUACUACUGUGGUCUGAUGGCAAAACGUGUUAUUUGUUGAGGAGGGUUUUUGGGUUCGAAUCCGGCUAACAACACUGAAUUUUUUUUUUUUUUUUAAUAAUCUUCUUCUUCUUCUCUUUCAACCGAACUGUAUCUGCUUCUUACCUUUUUCCAGUGAACUUCUUAAUCUCAGAUAUCUACCACGCUUCAUCUCAUUGUCUUGUUUGAUCUCUUCUUCCUUGUUCUCUAGAUCUAGAUGUCGCAAUAAGAUCUGAGAUCUGUGAAGAUGCGAGGAAAGCUUUAUCGACUUAAGGGUUCUUCCGCAUAGGUCACAAGGACAAUCAAAUCGAACCCACAAACACUAAUCCCUGACCUGAACUGUUGCAUUCGGUAGUAACAACAAUUAAAAACAACAAAUUGAUUCAAUUCAAUCGAAGAAGAAGCAGAUUAAGAAAAAAAAACAAAAAAGGAAAAUAAAUUUAACUAGUUAUCAGGUGGAAUCGAACCCACCAACCCCCUUUCACAAAAGUCACGUUUUGCCAUCUGACCAAAAUCAUUAUUGGCUAUUAAAUGAUACCAAUAGUUUAUAUACUUUUAAACAUCUGAAGUUAAAAUUUAACUCUGUUAUAUAGUUUUGUAACGGCGUUAACAACUGUUAAAUCGUUGGUAUGAAUUCUCUAACCAUUAUAUAAACAAAGAUUUUUUAUGACAACAUAAAACAAACAAAGUAUUUUUGUUCCAACCAAAAAAGAUGAGAUAUUAAACGUCCAAAUAAAAAAUAAAUGGCGUAUUUUUUGGCUUUUUUCCCUAAUUUUUUACGUUUACUUAUUAUGAUAUAUGUUACGGUGGUCUGAUGGUUAAGCUUCAUAAUUUUCAAACGAGGGUUCACGGGUUCAAUACCAUCAAACUACAAUUUCGUUUUUUUUUUAAACUGUUUUUUAUUAAACUUCUUCUUCUUCAAUUGAACAACAGAUCUGCUUUUUAACUUUUUCCGGCGAAUUUCUUAGUUUUAGAUCUCUCCCUGUCUUAUUUUGUUUUGUUUUACAUCUCCUUCGUUUUCCAAAUCCAGAAGCAGCAAUAAGAUCUGAGAUCUCUCAAGAUCUGAGAUCUCUCACGCUUCAUUCUCUCUUUCGCCAUUGAUUCAAGCUCGGGUUGGCAAAGCUCCUGCGAUUAUCUCCAGGAAAGUAAAUACACAAGACCAAUCCGAAUCGAGCCCACAAACACUAACAACAAAUCGAUUUUAUUUAAUCGAAGAAGCAGAUCAGAAAAAAAAAAAAAAUUGAAGGAAAAAGAAGCAGGAAAAAAAAUCGAAGAAGAAGGAAAAAAAAAAAUCGAUCAUGAAAACAAAAUUGUUGGUAGGUUGAAUCGAACCUACAAAGCCUCACCUACAAAACCUACGUCUUACCAUCAGACCACAGAAUCAUAUGGCAUAUUAAGUGAACCUUAUAAAAUAUAAAGACUAAAUAAACCCGAAGUUAAAAUUUAACACCGUCACAUAGUUUUGUAACGCCGUUGACGGCUGUUAAUUCGUUGGUACGAAUUCACCGAUCAUUAUAUAUACA